GACUAGAACACAGGCGUACGGACUCUCCGACUGACCGAUGACAAGAAUAAUAAGAAGCUAGGGAAGACAGCGAAAGAAGGGAAAAAACAGGGAGAAACAAAAAGAAGGUUGGCUUUCAUGAACCACAGAAGCUUGAGUGCGCUGCUCGGUGGCGAGCGAGUGGUAUGACUUUGAGUGUGUUGGUAUGACCCACCCUGUUCGGGAAACGUGUCGAGAGGGAUGGCAAGGGUCGGAGUUAUAUCGGGUUUCCACCACCUCCGGGCGAACUCCGCUUCGAUGCCCGCGUCGUAAACAAGCUGGACAGACCGCACGAACACACGAGGAGCAACGUGACGCUGGAAGACGAUGCUCAGAGCGGAAAAGAGAAGAUGAGAAGAAAUAAGAAAGCGGGUAAAAAAGAAAAGGACACGGAGGAAAUCCCGGUCAGUGCACACACGAUCUUUAAUACGACUACCGACACGAAGAGGAAAGGCGAUUCUAGGCAGAGCAUAUAGGAAACGAGACAUUUUGCGGAGAAUUCUAACCCCGGCGACUUUCCACGGAAUUACUUGGCGGCCGUGCACGUAAUUGUUAACGGUGCUGGCUGUUUUCAUGGAAGGGAAAUAGGAUUGAGUUUACCUUUGACGUACAAACAGAGCUUUCAACGGAUUUUAAUCACAUACGCCGUGUCGGCUUCCAUGGAAGCGGAUGCUUACACGUCGGCCGUUUUUACGCGUGUCCAAUUUCUACGCGGUUCUGCCUGUCGAAUCCGAUACCGGGGAACCUUGUCGGACGCGAUAGCUGCAUCGAAGGAAAUACGUAAACGGAAAAAUAUAUUAGAAUCGCUGGAACGAAUAAUUUCUCACGUUUCAACGGUCGUAUUGGUUUUAUAUACAAUUUACUGAAACGUAUCAACGAGAUGGAAUUACCGAGGUAAGCGAGCCAAGCGAACAUAUCUGAUUUUUCCGAUCAUGACAACGAUAGCGAUUUUUCAAAACGUCUGAACGUUAUUCUAAGACGAAUCGCAAUAAUACACCAAGGACAAUUCUAGGAGAAAAGGCAAUUCUGUAUGUCGUUUUCAACCGUACGAUGGUUGCAUGCAAAACAGAUUUCAAACUGGAUACCAGUUCAUUUUUGCUGAAACACCGGAAUCGGAGAGUUUCAUUCCCUUUGUUUCUCGUUGGCCAUAUUUGUCCUUUUCUCGUUUCCUUCUGUAUCUUCUUCGCCUUUUCUUUUUUCUUUACCUCUUUCCCUUAACUGCUUUUUCUUCUCUUCUUUCUCAUUUUCCUCCUUCCCAGUUAUUACAUAAAUCGAACAUUGCGAAACGAUCUCAGCUAUUCUUUUACAAAUAGGCGAAAAGAAUUUUCACGUUACACGUUGAUCCCAGGGGUUAACUGAAGCGUUAGUUUAUCCAAUCAUAAAAGCAGCUGAAUUUCAUUUUUAGGAUUAACUUAUUGUUCCGGCGGUGAAGCGUGAUCUCGAACGAAGACAAUAUGCAUUCAUAAUGAUAAUGUUGAUAUAACAUAACAUUAUUUAGGUAUUUCUCAACGUUUGGUUUCAUACACGAAAUAUUCCAUUAAAUCUGAAUUAAAGAUUACUGAUUUAUAUUUCUAUACGUGUUCAUGCCAAAUGUUCGUGCUAACUAUUCACACGCAUUUACGUUACAUAUAGUCAAAACAUAUAUUAAUGUAUAACAACGUUUGCUAAUUUCAGUUGACUUACCGUGUAUUAACCCGGUACAUAUUAAUGUAGCUGCUUAUUAUUCCGUAGCCACGCUUUGUUGAUAUAAUGUUUUCAAUCUGAACAUGUAUUAACGUGUGUAAUUUCAAAUUACACGUGUAAACUAUUUCAAUGUGUCUGCAUGUUUGCCUUCAUGUUUCAAUAUGUGUAUACAUUUUAAUAGGAAUAAAUAUACUUCUCUGUUA